UACGUAGGGUGCGAGCGUUGUCCGGAAUUAUUGGGCGUAAAGAGCUUGUAGGCGGUCUGUCGCGUCUGCUGUGAAAAUCCGGGGCUCAACCCCGGACUUGCAGUGGGUACGGGCAGACUAGAGUGUGGUAAGGGAGACUGGAAUUCCUGGUGUAGCGGUGAAAUGCGCAGAUAUCAGGAGGAACACCGGUGGCGAAGGCGGGUCUCUGGGCAGUAACUGACGCUGAGGAGCGAAAGCGUGGGGAGCGAACAGG
rnacentral:rRNA from 1 species